CUGGCGGCGUGCCUAACACAUGCAAGUCGAACGAGAAAGUUGGCUUCGGCCGAUGAGUAAAGUGGCGCACGGGUGAGUAACGCGUGGAUAAUCUGCUCUUUAGUUUGGAAUAACGUACCGAAAGGUGCGCUAAUACCGGAUAAUACUGAAUGACUACUGUUGUUUAGUCAAAGAAGGCUUCUGUUUACAUGCUUUUGCUGAAGGAUGAGUCCGCGUACCAUUAGCUAGUUGGUAGGGUAAUGGCCUACCAAGGCGACGAUGGUUAGCUGGUCUGAGAGGAUGAUCAGCCACACUGGAACUGAGACACGGUCCAGACUCCUACGGGAGGCAGCAGUGAGGAAUAUUGCGCAAUGGGGGCAACCCUGACGCAGCAACGCCGCGUGAGUGAAGAAGGUUUUCGGACCGUAAAGCUCUGUCGAGCGGGAAGAAAUGCAUGGUGGCUAAUAUCCAUCAUGCUUGACGGUACCGCUAAAGGAAGCACCGGCUAACUCCGUG
rnacentral:rRNA from 1 species